rfam:Loxodonta africana unplaced genomic scaffold scaffold_45, whole genome shotgun sequence.
UAGCACAGUGGUUAAGUGCUCGGCUGCUAACUGAAAGGUCGGUGGUUCAAACCCACC